rnacentral:rRNA from 1 species
GACGAACGCUGGCGGCGUGCCUAAUACAUGCAAGUUGAGCGCUGAAGGUUGGUACUUGUACCAACUGGAUGAGCAGCGAACGGGUGAGUAACGCGUGGGGAAUCUGCCUUUGAGCGGGGGACAACAUUUGGAAACGAAUGCUAAUACCGCAUAAAAACUUUAAACACAAGUUUUAAGUUUGAAAGAUGCAAUUGCAUCACUCAAAGAAGAUCCCGCGUUGUAUUAGCUAGUUGGUGAGGUAAAGGCUCACCAAGGCGAUGAUACAUAGCCGACCUGAGAGGGUGAUCGGCCACAUUGGGACUGAGACACGGCCCAAACUCCUACGGGAGGCAGCAGUAGGGAAUCUUCGGCAAUGGACGAAAGUCUGACCGAGCAACGCCGCGUGAGUGAAGAAGGUUUUCGGAUCGUAAAACUCUGUUGGUAGAGAAGAACGUUGGUGAGAGUGGAAAGCUCAUCAAGUGACGGUAACUACCCAGAAAGGGACGGCUAACUACGUG